CACAGUUUGUUUUAUGUCUGACACUUGAGACUGGUGUUAUGGGACAUAAGCCAAGUAUCACCUAAACCAAACAACUAAAAAUGAACAGGAGUUGUUUGGUUCAAGUCCUCAAACUGUCAGAGAUUUGCUGAAGAUGGCAUUUAAGAUAUUCAAACUUAUAUGACAGACAGAGACUCUCAGAUCCUAGCAGUGACUCCCAGGUCCCCAAGAAGACAAUGGGUACAGCGACAGGCAACUCCACCUGGACUACGGAAAGCCUCUCAUCCUCUGGGCCUGGCAGCCAAGACUGCUGUCCUGAUAACCCUGCCCUCAUCGCCAUAGAGUCCAUAGGAGCCUGGGAUAUUUGUCUAGAUUUAACAGACACCAUCCAGGGAAGACCUGUGGACUGCAAACUGCUGAGCUCUGGACUUGCUGAAAGCUGAUGUGAACCAAUCCAGCCAAUGUAAUUGCUCCCUGUCCCUUCCACCAGGAACAGCUAACCAGAUGCUCCUGAUAAAUGCCCCAUUGCUCAGCCUUUGACUAGCCUUUCAGCUUUCCUGGGCCCUGACAAUCGACACCCCAAUUUCAGCUGGAGCAGCUACAGAAGAGAGUAUAUCAUCCCUGUCCCCUUAAUAUGCUAAGUCAAAGGCAUAUUCCCUUUGGGGGGAAACCUGUUGCUUACAUGUCAAUCAUUCUGAGAAAGUCCAGCAAAAGUAAAACUUUGACCAUGCAGAAUGAAACUCAUUAUGCAGCCCCAUCUGGAUGAUGGGCCUGCAACACUGAGUUAACCUCAUGCAUUUAUGGUAUGGUCCUAAAUGCAGGAAAGGGGUACUGUAUGUUGGUCUAGCUCUUCCCCAACUGCUCUUAAGGUGAACAAAAAUUGUUAUCCCCUAAAACCCCCAGACACACAGGACACAUGAUUAUGUCCUCUCUAGUUACUUGUAGAGGGGGGAAUGAAGAGGCCUAAUUUAACAUUAGUGCGGCCAUGACAGGCUACAGACUAACAGUACUGGGACUAGGCCUCAACAUUAUAAUAACCAGGAAAAACCACAAACUGUACCCUUCGGGAAACCAAUUGGAAUUGAGACAAAUAAGUACUAGAUGCUCUAAAACAUAAAGGAUAGCUUACAUAAUCUGUAUACAGGUUGCUAAUUUCCUUGCAGCAACACCAGUACCAAUCCCUGUUUGACAAGACUUCUGUUAUCUCCCUCGUGCCCAAUCAGGCGUUCAGCCCCCAUCUGAAUCUGAAUUCCCCUACCCCCUAUCUUUUACUCCUUAAAAACCCUGCCAUAACUGAGCUCAGUGCUCUC